UACGGGGGGGGCAAGCGUUGUUCGGAAUUACUGGGCGUAAAGGGCUCGUAGGCGGCCAACUAAGUCAGACGUGAAAUCCCUCGGCUUAACCGGGGAACUGCGUCUGAUACUGGAUGGCUUGAGUUUGGGAGAGGGAUGCGGAAUUCCAGGUGUAGCGGUGAAAUGCGUAGAUAUCUGGAGGAACACCGGUGGCGAAGGCGGGUCUCUGGGCAGUAACUGACGCUGAGGAGCGAAAUCGUGGGGAGCGAACAGG
rnacentral:rRNA from 1 species